rnacentral:tRNA from 1 species
UCCCUUGUAGUUCAGUUGGUGAAGAAUCUGCCUGCAAUACAGGAGACCUGGGUUCAACUCCUGGCUAGGGAA